GAUGAACGCUAGCGGCAGGUUUAACACAUGCAAGUCGAGGGGUAGGGAAAGCUUGCUUUUCUGAGACCGGCGCACGGGUGCGUAACGCGUAUGCAAUCUACCUUUCACAGAGGGAUAGCCCAGAGAAAUUUGGAUUAAUACCUCAUAGUAUAAUUGAAUGGCAUCAUUUAAUUAUUAAAGAUUUAUCGGUGAAAGAUGAGCAUGCGUCCCAUUAGCUAGUUGGUAUGGUAACGGCAUACCAAGGCAACGAUGGGUAGGGGUCCUGAGAGGGAGAUCCCCCACACUGGUACUGAGACACGGACCAGACUCCUACGGGAGGCAGCAGUGAGGAAUAUUGGACAAUGGGCGCAAGCCUGAUCCAGCCAUGCCGCGUGCAGGAUGACGGUCCUAUGGAUUGUAAACUGCUUUUAUACAGGAAGAAACACCUCUACGUGUAGAGACUUGACGGUACUGUAAGAAUAAGGAUCGGCUAACUCCGUGCCAGCAGCCGCGGUAAUACGGAGGAUCCAAGCGUUAUCCGGAAUCAUUGGGUUUAAAGGGUCCGUAGGCGGUCAGGUAAGUCAGUGGUGAAAGCCCAUCGCUCAACGGUGGAACGGCCAUUGAUACUGUCUGACUUGAAUUAUUAGGAAGUAACUAGAAUAUGUAGUGUAGCGGUGAAAUGCUUAGAGAUUACAUGGAAUACCAAUUGCGAAGGCAGGUUACUACUAAUUGAUUGACGCUGAUGGACGAAAGCGUGGGUAGCGAACAGGAUUAGAUACCCUGGUAGUCCACGCCGUAAACGAUGGAUACUAGCUGUUGGGAGCAAUCUCAGUGGCUAAGCGAAAGUGAUAAGUAUCCCACCUGGGGAGUACGAACGCAAGUUUGAAACUCAAAGGAAUUGACGGGGGCCCGCACAAGCGGUGGAGCAUGUGGUUUAAUUCGAUGAUACGCGAGGAACCUUACCAAGGCUUAAAUGUAGAUUGACCGGUUUGGAAACAGACUUUUCGCAAGACAAUUUACAAGGUGCUGCAUGGUUGUCGUCAGCUCGUGCCGUGAGGUGUCAGGUUAAGUCCUAUAACGAGCGCAACCCCUGUUGUUAGUUGCCAGCGAGUCAUGUCGGGAACUCUAACGAGACUGCCAGUGCAAACUGUGAGGAAGGUGGGGAUGACGUCAAAUCAUCACGGCCCUUACGCCUUGGGCUACACACGUGCUACAAUGGCCGGUACAGAGGGCAGCCACUGGGUGACCAGGAGCGAAUCUAUAAAACCGGUCACAGUUCGGAUCGGAGUCUGCAACUCGACUCCGUGAAGCUGGAAUCGCUAGUAAUCGGAUAUCAGCCAUGAUCCGGUGAAUACGUUCCCGGGCCUUGUACACACCGCCCGUCAAGCCAUGGAAGCUGGGGGUGCCUGAAGUCGGUGACCGCAAGGAGCUGCCUAGGGUAAAACUGGUAACUAGGGC
rnacentral:rRNA from 1 species